AGGGAAAAAAAAACAGACAUGUGAAAUUCAAGACAGGUCAAACUGUGGUUGGGUUGAAGAAAAUCUCAUCAGCUUUAUCAGCUCAAAGAGGCACAAGAUUCUUCUUACAGUUACUUUGCAGGCUGUGUGAAGCAUUGCUUCUCCUAUUCUGUGCAAAAGUGCAUGGUCUUAUAUGUUCAAUAUCUGGUUAGUGAACCUCAGUUUCACAAUGACAAUAAAUCUGCAUGUAACCACAAUGUUAUGAUGAUGAGAAGACAGACAGGAAGCAAUAUGCACAUUCUGGAUAAUGUGUUUUAAGUGAAAUGCUUCUUUUUUUCCUUCUCUUUAAAAGGUCAAAAUGUAGCUUCAAAUUUGUAUAUUGUGAAGCACAAAUUAAGUGACAUAUGACACAAAAUGAUUGAUCUGUGCACAUAAAUAGGAAUAAAUUCAGUCUGACUGUGUAGUCGUGUUGAAUGUGGAAGGGACUGUUCAGGACCACACUGAGGUGUAAUUCAUUAGAAGAGCUGAAGAACAUGUUGAGUGGUGGUGAUUUAACUUCCUCCCUUCGUAUGUAAAGGAGGAACUGAGGGGCGUGGAGGACGAUUAUAGAGAAUUUGCAAGAUAAGCGAUGCAGCAAGGGGGUGAGAGAAAACAAGAGGCAGGGACAAGAGGACAGUCAACAACCGUCACCUGUGGGAGUGCAGAUUUAAAGACAAGGACUAACAGGGAAAGACAAGCAAGCUGAGAACAAAGAGCUGAGGGCAGGACACAACAAAACCAAAAGAUGUGAAAAAGAUGAGUCUGCUACAUAAAUGACUCAUUCAAGCAUUGCAGAGACAGCUGCAGACAGCAAACGAGUUCAAGAGCAAGCGGCUUCAACACAGACAAAACCAAAAUCUGUCUUAUUUGGGAGACAAUUUUAAUAGAAACUGCUUCCUUUGUCUAAUGGGAGAAAAUCUCACGCUGGACCGCUGUGCUCAAAUAUCUGUGAAAAUUUGAACCGCAGCUUCUGUCUGAUGAGCCAAAUCGUCAGUCAGACACAAUGACCACGAUCCACUCUACUUCUUCUUUCACACCAACUCCUUCAGCCUCUGCAUCUUUUAACUCUUCUCUUUCUAUUUCUACUUCAUCAUUCUUUUCAUCUGCCUCUGUUUCUCCUUUCACUACCUCCAUUUCAUCAACUGUCUCUCCAAAUCAGGAGUGCACAUUUGAUGACUCAGCACUCCAUCUGCUGCUAGCAGUCGUCUACUCUCUGUUCUUUAUUUUUGGCCUUGUGGGUAACCUGUUUGCUCUGUGGGUAUUCCUCUUCCUGCACUCAAACCGCAACUCGGUGCGGGUGUUCCUCAUUAACUGCGCCGUGGCUGAUCUGAUCCUCCUGGCGUGCCUGCCCUUCAGGGUGUUCUACCAUGUCAACAGAGACAAGUGGGUUCUGGGAUCUGUGGCCUGCAAGCUGGUGGGGAAUAUAUUCUACAUGAACAUGUAUAUUAGCAUUGCAUUACUGGGCCUCAUCAGCCUGGACAGAUACUUGAGGCUGAGGGGGAAAGGCAGAGAGAGGAAUGGGGUGAGACUAAGGCUGAGGCUGUGGGGGCGCAGCCGGCCAUGUAGCUGGUUGGUGUGCGGAGCUCUGUGGGGUGUGUCGCUCACAGCAGCAGCAGUCAUGAUCGCCACAGCAGAGGACAUGGAGAGCAACGACAAAUGUUUCCAGUACAAGAAGCGCAAGAAUAGCCAAGGGAAGGGGUACUUUAACGCAGUGCUGGUGUUCAUGUUUUGGCUCGUCUUCAUCAUGAUCGUGGUCUCCUACGCCAAGAUUGCCUCUCAGUUGCUGCAAGUGUCCCGGGACAAACCAGACCUUCCAAACGCAAACAAAUACAAAAGGACGGCAAAGAAGUCUUUUUUCGUUCUUUUUCUCUUCACUGUCUGCUUUGGACCCUAUCACGCCUUUCGUCCCAUCUAUAUCUACUCCCAACUCAAUAACACAAUAUCAUGUGACUACAUUCAACUGGUGGAUCAUACCAAUGAGGUCAUGCUAUUAUUCUCUGCCUUUAAUAGCUGCUUGGACCCUGUCAUGUACUUUCUGUUAUCUGGCUCUGUGCGCAAAACUGCCCUGCAAGUGAUUGGAAACCGGCUUGGUGGCCGGUUCAUCUUCCAUGCUGAACCGACGUCUUUCAGCUCGACAGCAGAGUCUAGACGUCCCGACCAUAACCUGAACACGCCUUCCCUAACCCCAAGAACCAGCAUCUGUGUCUCCACCCUCCACCGCAUAGGAGGGACUACACUUCGACCUACAGUACAACAGUGAUUACAUCUCUAACUUUGGGUGGACUGUUUGAAUGUAAAACUUAGCUAAAUACUUCUGUGUUUAAAAAAGAAAUUAAAAUUAAAUUUAUAUACCAAGUUGAUUUUGCCGCUUUAUCUUUUGAAUACUUGUGCUUGUUAAAAGUUGUGUAACCCUCAAAACCCUGUUGAUCACAGGAACGAUGGUGUGUAACUCUGUGGGUUGAAUUGUGGUCAAUCCUUUACCCUUUAGAUAAUCUACUUAAGUUUUCCAGGAACUUAUAUCCCGUCCAGGAGGUUUACAAAAUAUGCCGCAAAAAAAAAAAAAAAAUGCAAACAUAAAAUACAGAACAUCAAGUGUUUCCUGUUCUCAUGCAUGGCCGAGAGGCAGAAAGAGCUCCGUGUGCUUAGCUAGCAAAUGUUCUAGACAAAAUAAGAAGUACCAAGUUAAAUCAAACACGUUGUAUCUGACAUUUUUAUUUAACAAGCACUCGAUUGUCUUUUCGUUGUCUGACUGUGGGAAAACCCAUCAGUUAUUAUUUAGGAGUAAAAGAGCUCUAGUGUGGAUGAAAGUGCCAGGUUCAGGGCUGCUCCAUCUGGUUUGGUUGUGUCUAUAACCUCGGCUGGAAGGCUCAUCCUGUUGAAAUCAUUGGUGAAUUCAAAUCU